UCCUAGUCCCUACCUGAACGGCGAAAGGUAACUUUUGUUUCGACGAGGUCAUGUCUUCAGACGAAGAAUCGAGAAGCGGACGCUCCGCCACGGUUGCGACAGAGCUCUAACUUUUUGAAGCACGGCUUCAAACCUCGCUCCUCUCGCCGGCCAAUUCGCUCGACUCUGGCUGUUUCUCUGGCAGGACGUUCGUUGGCCAAGGAUCCGCGGGAAAAAUUAUCGUUCUCAUGGCUUUUCCACGGAAGCCACGGAUGACUUUCCCGACGGGAGAAGAGUUUCAAAGUUUAACGAUCCGACGUUGCAUAUUAAAGCUACCGAGUAGUGUCUCCAGUUACGUCAGCAUUCCAAACUGUUGAUACUCUACGCUGAACGCUGAACAUGACUGCUUCGCGAUGUUGUCCAAACGCUGUCGUCUAACGAUUUGAUAAGUGAUAUUCCUUGGUACAAAGUGUUGAGUAAUAAAGUCACCGUUGGCUCGUCUUAAUGAUUC